AGCCUCAAGUGAUGAUUAUUGGAGGUAGAGCACUGUUUGGACGAGGGGCCCCUCUCGGGUUACCGAAUUCAGACAAACUCCGAAUGCCAAAUAAUUUAACUUGGGAGUCAGAAUGUGGGUGAUAAGGUCCAUAUUCGAAAGGGAAACAGCCCAGACCACCAGCUAAGGUCCCAAAAUAUAUGUUAAGUGGAAAAGGAUGUGGCGUUGCCCAGACAACUAGGAUGUUGGCUUAGAAGCAGCCAUCAUUUAAAGAGUGCGUAAUAGCUCACUAGUCGAGUGACACUGCGCCGAAAAUGUACCGGGGCUAAACAUAUUACCGAAGCUGUGGAUUGUCCAUUGGACAAUGGUAGGAGAGCGUUCUAAGGGCGUUGAAGCAUGAUCGCAAGGACAUGUGGAGCGCUUAGAAGUGAGAAUGCCGGUGUGAGUAGCGAAAGACGGGUGAGAAUCCCGUCCACCGAUUGACUAAGGUUUCCAGAGGAAGGCUCGUCCGCUCUGGGUUAGUCGGGUCCUAAGCUGAGGCCGACAGGCGUAGGCGAUGGAUAACAGGUUGAUAUUCCUGUACCACCAUUAUUCGUUUUAAGCGAUGGGGGGACGCAGUAGGAUAGGCGAAGCGUGCUGUUGGAGUGCACGUCCAAGCAGUGAGAUUGAGUGUUAGGCAAAUCCGGCACUCUUAAGAU
rnacentral:rRNA from 1 species